rnacentral:tRNA from 1 species
GACCACGUAGCUCAGCUGGCAGAGCAUUGGGCUAGUAUUCCAAAGGUCGUAGGUUCGAUUCCCACCGUGGCCA